AUUGAACGCUGGCGGCAGGCUUAACACAUGCAAGUCGAACGAGUGGCGGACGGGUGAGUAAUGCUUGGGAAUCUAGCUUAUGGAGGGGGAUAACUACGGGAAACUGUAGCUAAUACCGCGUACCAUAGGCUGAGCCCAAGUGGGAGUAGGUAGUUGGUGAGGUAAAGGCUCACCAAGCCGACGAUCUCUAGCUGGUCUGCGAGGAGGACCAGCGACAUGGGGACUGAGACACGGCCCAGACGCCUAAGGGAGGCAGCAGUGGGGAAGAGUGCGCAAUGGGGGCAACCUGACGCAGCCAUGUCGCGUGUGUGAAGAAGGCCUUCGGGUUGUAAAGUACUUUCAUUCGGGAGGCGUUACCUACAGAAGAAGCACCGGCUAACUCCGUGCCAGCAGCCGCGGUAAUAC
rnacentral:rRNA from 1 species